CUCUUUUCGUGAAAAAUUAAAAAGAAGAAACUUUGCUUCCAUUUCUAAUCUUACUCUUUUCUUUGUUUCUCAUCUUCUUUUUAAACUUAUAUACCCUCCUGCUUCAAACCCUAAUCCUAAAUCAGGAAAAUUUCCACAAUUUCCAGGUUUUACCAUAUCAGUCUGAGUAUUUUUCUCCCAUGAUAUAUACCAUUUUGAAAGUGAAUUUCUCAGAAAAGUUUCUUGAUUUAAGUGAAUUAUUUUCACUGUAUCAAAGAUCUCAAAAAACUCAUUUUUGAGAUAAAAAUUCUUGAUUUUGAGUAAAAAAAUUAUUUCUUGAGGGGAUCUCAAAAGAACCCAUUUUUAGCUAAAGAUUCAUAAACCCAAUAAUACCAAGAAAUCAUUUUUUUCACAAAAAAAUCCAACCCCAGAUCAGAAUUUUGGAAAAAGUUUCAAUCUUGAAAAUUUUCCAAAUUUUUUCCCCCAUGCUAUAAGAUGGGAGCUGAAAAAAAAUGGCUAUAUGCACUGUUUUGUGCAGCCUUUGUAUCAUUUCUCAUAUUCUUGUCUUCAAUUUCAGGUUUUAGCUCAUCUUAUUAUGCAUUUUCAUUGCACAGGAGAUUUGCUACUCCUGUGCAUCACGGGCCGGGUCAUCCCCCGGCCUUUGGAUACUAUAUUUCAGGUGGAAGAGGUGAUAGUGAUAGGAUUUUUAGGCUUUUAUUAGCUGUGUAUCAUCCUAGGAAUAGGUACUUGUUGCACAUUGGUGUAGAUGGGAGUGAAGAGGAAAGGCAAAAACUCGGGAUGUUAGUGAAAUCUGUGCCUGUAAUUCAGGCUUUUGGGAAUGUAGAUGUAGUUGGAAAGCCUGAUCCAGUUACUUAUAUGGGUUCAACUAAUAUAGCUGCAAUGCUUAGGGCGGUCGCGAUUUUGUUGAAGAUGGAUGGUGGAUGGGAUUGGUUUGUUAAUCUAAGUGCCUCUGAUUAUCCUUUGAUUACUCAAGAUGACUUAUCUCAUGUCCUCUCAUCAGUUAGUAGAGACCUAAAUUUCAUUGAUCACACCAGCGACCUUGGAUGGAAAGAGGGUCAACGUAUAAAGCCCAUUGUAGUUGAUCCAGGGCUUUACCUAGCACGGAAGACGCAAAUUUUUUAUGCGACCGAAAAGCGGCCGUUGCCUGAGGCUUUCCAAGUGUUUACUGGCUCUCCUUGGGUUAUCUUGAGCCGACCAUUUCUCGAGUUCUGUGUUUUUGGAUGGGACAACCUUCCAAGAACCCUUCUAAUGUAUUUUACCAAUGCAGUAUUGUCACAAGAAGUUUAUUUCCAUUCUGUUGUUUGCAAUUCACCGGAGUUUAAGAAUACAACAGUUAAUAGUGACAUGAGAUAUAUGGUGUGGGAUAAUCCCCCUAAGAUGGAGCCCCUCUUCCUUAACACUUCAGAUUACGAUCUUAUGGCGCAAAGUGGAGCUGCAUUUGCUAGACAGUUUAAUAAAGACGAGACGGUACUUGACAUGAUUGAUCAGAAUAUCCUUAAACGUAGCCAUAAUAGAGUCACCCCAGGUGCAUGGUGCACGGGUCGAAAGAGUUGGAGGAUGGAUCCUUGUUCGCGAUGGGGUGAUGUCAACGUUUUGAAGCCUGGACCUCAAGUGAAAAACUUAGGGGAUUCUGUACAAAGAAUGCUUCAAGAUUUGAGCUCACAAUCAAAUCAAUGUAGAUGACGAGCAAAAGUACGAUUUGAAUGUCCAUUAUCUCUACCGGCUCUGAGUUGAUACCAGGUUUGCGUACUUUCAGCUUAGAUGCAUUUUUGGUUGACAUUCUUUUUUGGGAGAUUCGUUCUAGUUAUCGGCUUCUUGAGUGUUCAUUUUGAGAUUGCAAGUUGAUGAAGCAUUGACAUUGGGCUGUGGCAUUCAUACGAAUUAGUUGUAGAGCCACCAUAUACGGUCUCCCAGCGCAAUAAGAGGAAUCUCCCACUGUACCACAUCUAUAGUUUUCAUUUUUUAAGGCAUUAAUGAGUAUUCACAUUUUCUAGUACAUGUACGCCGUUUGAGGUUUUAUCAUUACUUGACAUUGUGUUAUAUGCAGUCUAAAUAGAUCCAUUGAGGUUUAUGUGAACCAAGUCAUCGUACAUUUUCGUCUCUUUCAGGUAUUGGGAUAACAAAUCUCCAUCUAUCGGAAAUAGCCUCUCUACCUUCAAGGUGGGGUUAAGGUCUGCGUACACACUACCCUUCACAGACUCGCUUGUGGGAUUACACUGUGUUUGUUGUUGUUGUUGGAUAACGGAGAUUACCUACCAAGGCUUAGACGGAUGAGAAUAAAUCAUAUAACACUUGAGAUUUUUUUUUUUGAAAUCCUAAUAGGUCUGAAUUUUUUUUCUUGUUUUUGCUAA